CCUACGGGAGGCAGCAGUGGGGAAUAUUGCACAAUGGGCGCAAGCCUGAUGCAGCCAUGCCGCGUGUAUGAAGAAGGCCUCGGGUUGUAAAGUACUUUCAGCGGGGAGGAAGGGAGUAAAGUUAAUACCUUUGCUCAUUGACGUUACCCGCAGAAGAAGCCACCGGCUAACUCCGGUGCC
rnacentral:rRNA from 1 species